AACUGAAUUUGUGAUCUGUUGGAAGUGAAGUUGUUUUAUUUAAUCACAAAGGAGCAAUAAAUGUUAACAGUAGCUGACAAAGCAAAAAUCGUAGCUGAAUUUGGUCGC
rnacentral:ncRNA from 1 species